UGCUACAAAGUCGGGCCUGGUUGGGGAGGCCUCCAGUGAGGGAGGGAGGGAGACGGGCCUCCUGCUUGGAGGACAUUUGGGGAGGCUCAGACCCUGGUGGCACCAGUAAAAGGAAGCCAACUAAGGUCAAGCCCCGCUGCUCUGAGGAAUGAAUCAGAGGCAUUACAUUUACCCCAAAAAUAACUCAUUGAAGGAAGCGAUUUACCUCUUUCUUAUCUGAUCACAUCAGAAGGAGCAAAGAUUACAAUCUGUGCUACGGUGGCCGAGGUAGAGGCGAGGAAGAGGAGCCUUCUCGUAUCUUCUGCAGCGUCCAGGUGGGGUUGAAAACACAAGGCUUCCGGGGCGACAGCUUCAGGAGAAAGAUCAAGUGUGCAAAUUAUAUUUGCAACUCGGAGAUUUUUGUGAGGUCCUUGUUAGCAUGGGAACUGUGGCCCUUCUUCUGGAUAAAUAUGUCCAGUGUCUUUAGGGGCCAAGCGCUUUCCUCACCAUUCCCAGGAGUUUCUUGUUUGUUUGUUCCUAUAUUUUGGCAAUGCAUCUAUUUAUAUUUAUAAGAAGAAAUACCUAACUAGCCACCUAACUAGGGAGAGAAAAAGGGUGAAUGGCCCGGGUGGAGGAGGGCCAGAGGGAGAAGAGGAGAGAAUCUCAAGCGGGCUCUGCACCGAUCGAGGACCCCAACUCUAGAACUGGAACUAACCACCCUGCGGUCGUGGUCUGAGCCAAAAUCAAGAGUCAGACGGUUAAUGAACUGAGCCACCUGGGCGCCCCAGUUCUACGCUUUGAUUGUUAUUUUACAUUAUUAACUUUUCUUUGGAGAUUGAUUUUUGACAUUUGUUUUGUUUUAUAACGAUAUUAAUGACAGUUUUCCAGACACUACUCUCGGUGUACUUGGUUUCCAUUGCUCCCUACCAUCUCUUUUUAUCAAGUUACCCUCAUGCUUGAGGUCUUUAUCUUGAUCCAUCGGAUCUCUAAACUGUGAGUGCAAUACUUUCAGAGCCUCAGCCCACAGGAGGAUAUUAAUCUUCCCUACAAAUGAUCUCUUGACUUGAGUAUAUCCCGCUUUUCCUCCCCAGCUUGGAAGCCAGUCUCCAUUUACUGCUGCUCUUUGGUUCCCUGGAGGAGAAGUGGAUGACUUUUCUUCCCUUGGGGCGGCGGUUCUCAACCCCGACUUCUGCACAUUCAAAUCACUGAGGGAGAUUUUUUAAACCUCAAUGCCCAGGUUCCAUCCCAGAGUAAUUAAGUUAGAAUGUUCGAGGAUGGAGUCCAGACAGUAGUAUUUUUUAAAGGCUCGCCCAAUGAUCUUAAUACAUAGCUGGGGUUGAGAACCACUGCUUGAGAAAAUAAGCUGUUCUUUCUUGCCUUAGAUGCUUGUAGAGGGUUUUUUUUUUCCUUUCUCCUUAAAUCUUGAAAUAUUCAACAGGAUAUGUCUGGCAAUCUUUAAUUCUAUAAACUCAGCAAUUUCCCCCGGUUAUUCCUUUGAAUAUUGCUUCUAUUGUAUCUCUUCUCUUUUCUCUUUCUUGGAUCCUUAGGACAUGUUGAUUGUAUUUCCGGGAUCUUUUCCUUAUAUUUUCCUUAUUUUCUCCUAUCAUUUUAUCACUGUGUGUUUACAAAGCCAUCAGUACUGGUUCUGGGUCUUUUGUGGGGGUGAGGGGGUGUCACAGGCUCUUUGGAGAACUCAUUGGAGUUGGAUCCCAUUCCCCCGCCCCCCCCCCAAAUGGCCACACCAUAAAGUUACAUAUCACUUCACAAACUAGCUCUUCAGAUGUCUGUGAUUCCUACAUGAAAGCUCCUCUCCCCGUGAUAGACCUCGGGCCUAAAAGAUGUUCUAUCCUUGCUCAGGGUCAAAGGGCAGGGGAGAAAGACAGGCUCAGAAACUGAGUGUGUGUUCUUGUACACUCAUGAAGUCCACUUGGGGUGGUGGUACUGCCACUGCUCUAGAUUUGGUUUGAUGACACUUAUUUAAGUUACAGGGUUUUCACAGUGUUCCGACAGGGUGUCGACCAUUAUUUUCCAGCGCUGGUUCUUGCGCAGUAGGGCUCAUCAACUGUAUGAUAGCUGGCACAAAUCGCUUGGAUAUUCUAGCGGCUCCCGGUCUAUCCCCAACUUCUAAGUUUUUACUAGAAAUGUGAGAUAAACGGAUCCAUCAAGAAAGCGAGCAUCACUCUCUUUAACACAAGGGUCCCCCCCUCCACAUCCCCAUCCCGCUAAGUCACCCACGGGAUUAGCUCUUCUGGCUCUCGCCUUUUUCAUUCGGUAGAUGUCGCUCCAUUAUGUUUAGGCUUCAAAUAAAACAAGGGAGAAAUCUAAGAAAAAAUUAUUUUCCUUUCUUUCUGGAUGAACGAUAUUUUUCUUCUGCCCAGAUUCUCAUAGGAAUCUUUAUUUUACCUUCUCUUUAAGGUAAAAAUCCAUAUUUGGUUAAAAAAAACAUAUUUUUCAUCAAGACAGUGUGGUACUGGCACAAAAACAGACACAUAGAUCAGUGGAACAG